GGAGACAUAGCUCAGUGAUAGAGUAUAGGCUUAGCAUGCACAAGGUCCUGGGUUUAAUCCCCAGUACCUCCA
rnacentral:tRNA from 1 species